rnacentral:lncRNA from 1 species
UUGUGCAAGAGGCCGUGGGGGCCAAUGGGGCAUGAUAGUGUGACCUUCAAAUUACCAGUGUGCACGGCACACGGAAGGAACACACAGUGUGACCACGUGAUUGCCUGUGCAUACGGGGGGAACACAGAGUGUGACUACGUGAUUGCCAGUGCGUACAGGGGGAACACACAGUUUGGGAUGGUGUCACCGAAGAGAACUCGGCCUCUGCGAAGGGCUGUGCGGGGAGAUGCGGUGGAG